rnacentral:lncRNA from 1 species
CUGUGUUGUAAGAUUGGUGACUUCCAAUGUGUGUGUGUGUAGCACAAGGAUGAGAGGAAAGGAAAACAACCUAGAUUGUGUUCUGCACCACUGAUCUGUGUACCCUUGGGUACCUCAUCUAACUUGGUCUGUUCCUCUGUAAGAUGAGGGUUUUGAUUAGACAGUUCAUCAUAAUCCUUUCAUGAUCUACCACUUCAUCUGCAUUUUGAAAGCUCGUCCAACCACGGAUUCCUUCUUCAAGUCAUUUAUUUGCUCAAGACACCCUUUUGAACACCUACCAUGUGCCUGUAUGGGCUAGCCAUCCUGUGUACAGAUGGGAGAAAACCAAUUCUGCUGAACUGGGGACGGAGAAGACUACUUAGGAGAUGUCGACCACAUUGACCUGUGAAUAUCCGACACUGUCACCUGCCGCCCUGCUCAUCUUACACCUGAGAGCCACAUCUGAUGACUUCCAGGAUCAGUCACCAAGAUGACGCAGCUGCUUUUGAGGUCACUAAACGAGGUCUUCUCACAUUAACUGGGUUGUUCAUAGCUCAGUCUCCUGCCUGCGAACAACAAUACAUCUGUGAGAGCCGCUCACUUUCCGGAGGGCCGUGCACAUGUCUCACUUUGAUGGAAAUAUGUAUUUCAGAAACCUAA